AGAAUUUGGUUAUUAAGUCUUAUCUCUGUAUGUCCCUCAAAAGCCUAAUGGGCUCAUAGGUUCCUAACUAAAACUGCAUCACAAGAAAUGCCACCUGUCUCUUCAAUUAAAAAGCAGAAGAUAAAUUGUUGGACCUUGAAUCAUUGCUGAUGCUUCUACAAGGGAUACCAUUCAAGAGCUUCCUGUGAUGUACUAAGAAAUGUAUAAGUAUAGUCUCUGUUCCUGUUUCCAGCACACACCUCCCA